GUGAAGUGGUAAAAGUGUCAUUAAUUUUGUUAAUAUUACAGUGAAAACAUGUGAAGUUUUAACACUAUAAAGUAUCAUGAAAUAUCAGAAUAAAAACAUGUGAAAUGUUAACAGUGUAAUUAUGUUGUUAAAUAUCCCAGUGAAAGCACGUGAAGUGGUAACAGUGUCAUUUAUUUGUUAUCACAGUGAAAACAUGUGAAACGUUAAACAUGCAUGAUCACGACCAUCAAAGUCAAAGCAUUUGGUUAAAGUGUCAUUUCUUUAUGUUUACAUCACAACUAAAACCUUUACGUUGUUUUUAAUCGGGAGAUAAUAAUAAAUAAAGCCGGAACACGAUUGCCGGUUCCCACCCUGACCCCGUCAGAGGAGCAACGUCACCGUGGCCCCGCAGCAGCAGCGGUUGUGUCAACGUGGCUCCUCCUCCUCCUCCUCCUCCUCCUCUGCGUGUCACUGUGGCUCCGCAGCAGCAGCGUGUCCCCGGUCCGUCCUCUGCAGCAGCAGCAGCAGCAGCAGCAUCGUGUCCCCGUGGCUCCUCCGCAGCAGCAGUAAGUCAGAGCCCGUGGCUGGUGGCCACGGCUGGAAGGCUUCCAGCCUCAGAGGCGGCGAUUAACCCGGCGGCGCUCAACUCGGCAGGAAGCCGCCGCGCAACCAGCCAGCGCCAUUUAUCCAGCGCCCAAUGAAACCAAUUACUUUUUACAGCGAGCCUCGCCGCCGACACUCUGUGUUGUCCCGCAGACCGAUGGAGCGUGGCGGUGAAAGGAGAGGCGGCCGUGAAGGAGGAAACCCUCCCGAGCCGCUUCAACAGGCUGUAAAAUAUACCUAGAGUCGGUAUCCAUGGCGACGCACAGGCGAACGGACCCACACCGCCUCUGAGAGGAGUCACUGCCGUCAUCAGGAGGUUCUCACUGCUCGGCUCAUGGAGAUUCAUCUGAGGAAACAUAAACACACACCUCCCCUUGUGUUGUUGUGUUCACUGUUUAGAAGAACACACAGAAACAUAAUGGCUUUCAUGGUUCUCUAGGCUUUGUGGUUCUACGGAGGAAACAUUCUUUCAUUUGAGACACCUUUAUACACUCAAAAAAAUGAUUCUUGGCCCUCAUAAACAUUAAACAAUAUUUUUAAGUAAAACGUAACUGAAAUAUAUAAAAUCUAAAGUGUAUUCAUUAAAACCACUUAAACACAAUGUAAAUAUGCUUCGUAUAACCUGAACAUAAACAAAUCAAGUAAACUUAACUUGAUUGGAUCACAGAAGGAGCAUAUGUGCGUGCACUCAAUAAACUUUAAGCAUGACAUUUAAAUUAAACCUGUUUAAAGUAAAUACAUCAUAUAUUAUAUCCAUCCAUAUACAUUAAAUACAACAUAAACCAGUUCAAUCGGAAAUGAAAUUUGAUUUAUUCACAUUAAGUCUAUUUAAUUGUUUCACUGGAUUUAAUUCGACCAACCUGAGGCAGGCACGGGCACCAUUCUUUCAUCCCAGAACCGGCAGAGCAACAGACCUCGUGCUGAUGGAAGGACCGAGUUUGGUUAAUGCAGAAUUCAUGCGGAUCACAACUAUGCCUCUACAAACCAAGUUCAUGGCACAACUUGACAGAUACUCCGCUGACCUAACCAAGCUCUUCAGCAAGAGAGGCGGGACUGCUGGAAAGAAGAUUAGACGCAUCAUGGAGAGGACGCCUCAGUGUGAUGACAUAAACUCCAGACGAGAACGUGUCCUAAGAAGCCUCUGUGUCUACCUCAAUGAGGAUGAUGAAACUCUCAUCAAGGAAUACAUGAACCGCAACUUGGAAGAAGCGGACAG